rnacentral:rRNA from 1 species
GUGAACGCUGGCGGCAGGCCUAACACAUGCAAGUCGCACGGCAGCAUAAGAGAGCUUGCUCUCUGGGUGGCGAGUGGCGGACGGGUGAGGAAUGCAUCGGAAUCUGCCCAUUUGUGGGGGAUAACCUCGGGAAACCGGGACUAAUACCGCAUACGACCUACGGGUGAAAGCAGGGGAUCUUCGGACCUUGCGCAGAUGGAUGAGCCGAUGCCGGAUUAGCUAGUUGGAGGGGUAAAGGCCCACCAAGGCUACGAUCCGUAGCUGGUCUGAGAGGAUGAUCAGCCACACUGGGACUGAGACACGGCCCAGACUCCUACGGGAGGCAGCAGUGGGGAAUAUUGGACAAUGGGCGCAAGCCUGAUCCAGCCAUGCCGCGUGUGUGAAGAAGGCCUUCGGGUUGUAAAGCACUUUUGUUGGGAAAGAAAAGCAGCCGGUUAAUACCCGGUUGUCAUGACGGUACCCAAAGAAUAAGCACCGGCUAACUUCGUG